rnacentral:lncRNA from 1 species
UUUCCCAUGCAAAAUGCAAAUUGAGCAUGUCAUCAUGUUGUUGUUAUAAAGUAACCAUGAUCUCCCCUCUUGCCAUUUUGGGUUGAAUGACCUUUCAGGUCGUUUCUCCUUUUCGUACAAAGACCGCUUUACAGCUUUAUCAACUUGAAUAGGUGACUGGUUUGGUCUUUUACCGGGUUUCGACCCACUUACAAAUUUUAUCGGCCAUGACAUAUUUCCUGAACUUAUCAACUAUGCUUAAUAGACCUCCUUCCUAGAGAGCGAAUUUCUAAAACAAAAAACAUGACGGAAAUACACGGAAUGGUUUGGGGC